rnacentral:rRNA from 1 species
AAAUUGAAGAGUUUGAUCAUGGCUCAGAUUGAACGCUGGCGGCAGGCCUAACACAUGCAAGUCGAACGGUAACAGGAAGAAGCUUGCUUCUUUGCUGACGAGUGGCGGACGGGUGAGUAAUGUCUGGGAAACUGCCUGAUGGAGGGGGAUAACUACUGGAAACGGUAGCUAAUACCGCAUAACGUCGCAAGACCAAAGAGGGGGACCUUCGGGCCUCUUGCCAUCGGAUGUGCCCAGAUGGGAUUAGCUAGUAGGUGGGGUAACGGCUCACCUAGGCGACGAUCCCUAGCUGGUCUGAGAGGAUGACCAGCCACACUGGAACUGAGACACGGUCCAGACUCCUACGGGAGGCAGCAGUGGGGAAUAUUGCACAAUGGGCGCAAGCCUGAUGCAGCCAUGCCGCGUGUAUGAAGAAGGCCUUCGGGUUGUAAAGUACUUUCAGCGGGGAGGAAGGGAGUAAAGUUAAUACCUUUGCUCAUUGACGUUACCCGCAGAAGAAGCACCGGCUAACUCCGUGCCAGCAGCCGCGGUAAUACGGAGGGUGCAAGCGUUAAUCGGAAUUACUGGGCGUAAAGCGCACGCAGGCGGUUUGUUAAGUCAGAUGUGAAAUCCCCGGGCUCAACCUCGGGAACUGCAUCUGAUACUGGCAAGCUUGAGUCUCGUAGAGGGGGGUAGAAUUCCGGUGUAGCGGUGAAAUGCGUAGAGAUCUGGAGGAAUACCGGUGGCGAAGGCGGCCCCUGGACGAAGACUGACGCUCAGGUGCGAAAGCGUGGGGAGCAAACAGGAUUAGAUACCCUGGUAGUCCACGCCGUAAACGAUGUCGACUUGGAGGUUGUGCCCUUGAGGCGUGGCUUCCGGAGCUAACGCGUUAAGUCGACCGCCUGGGGAGUACGGCCGCAAGGUUAAAACUCAAAUGAAUUGACGGGGGCCCGCACAAGCGGUGGAGCAUGUGGUUUAAUUCGAUGCAACGCGAAGAACCUUACCUGGUCUUGACAUCCACGGAAGUUUUCAGAGAUGAGAAUGUGCCUUCGGGAACCGUGAGACAGGUGCUGCAUGGCUGUCGUCAGCUCGUGUUGUGAAAUGUUGGGUUAAGUCCCGCAACGAGCGCAACCCUUAUCCUUUGUUGCCAGCGGUCCGGCCGGGAACUCAAAGGAGACUGCCAGUGAUAAACUGGAGGAAGGUGGGGAUGACGUCAAGUCAUCAUGGCCCUUACGACCAGGGGCUACACACGUGCUACAAUGGCGCAUACAAAGAGAAGCGACCUCGCGAGAGCAAGCGGACCUCAUAAAGUGCGUCGUAGUCCGGAUUGGAGUCUGCAACUCGACUCCAUGAAGUCGGAAUCGCUAGUAAUCGUGGAUCAGAAUGCCACGGUGAAUACGUUCCCGGGCCUUGUACACACCGCCCGUCACACCAUGGGAGUGGGUUGCAAAAGAAGUAGGUAGCUUAACCUUCGGGAGGGCGCUUACCACUUUGUGAUUCAUGACUGGGGUGAAGUCGUAACAAGGUAACCGUAGGGGAACCUGCGGUUGGAUCACCUCCUUACCUUAAAGAAGC